AUUGAACGCUGGCGGCAGGCCUAACACAUGCAAGUCGAGCGAGCGGCGGACGGGUGAGUAAUAUCUGGGAAACUGCCUGAUGGAGGGGGAUAACUACUGGAAACGGUAGCUACUACCGCAUACCAUCUGAUGUGCCCAGAUGGGAUUAGCUAGUAGGUGGGGUAACGGCUCACCUAGGCGACGAUCCCUAGCUGGUCUGAGAGGAUGACCAGCACAACUGGAACUGGGACACGGUCCAAAUUCCUACGGGAGGCAGCAGGGGGGAAUAUUGCACAAUGGGCGCAAGCCUGAUGCAGCCAUGCCGCGUGUGUGAAGAAGGCCUUCGGGUUGUAAAGCACUUUCAGCGGGGAGGCGUUACCCGCAGAAGAAGCAACGGCUAACUCCGUGCCAGCAGCCGCGGUAAUUC
rnacentral:rRNA from 1 species